GACGAACGCUGGCGGCGUGCUUAACACAUGCAAGUCGAACGGAAAGGCCCUGCUUUUGUGGGGUGCUCGAGUGGCGAACGGGUGAGUAACACGUGAGUAACCUGCCCUUGACUUUGGGAUAACUUCAGGAAACUGGGGCUAAUACCGGAUAGGAGCUCCUGCUGCAUGGUGGGGGUUGGAAAGUUUCGGCGGUUGGGGAUGGACUCGCGGCUUAUCAGCUUGUUGGUGGGGUAGUGGCUUACCAAGGCUUUGACGGGUAGCCGGCCUGGGAGGGUGACCGGCCACAUUGGGACUGAGAUACGGCCCAGACUCCUACGGGAGGCAGCGGUGGGGAAUAUUGCGCAAUGGGCGGAAGCCUGAUGCAGCAACGCCGCGUGCGGGAUGACGGCCUUCGGGUUGUAAACCGCUUUCGCAUGUGACGAAGCGUGAGUGACGGUAAUGGGUAAAGAAGCACCGGCUAACAACGUG
rnacentral:rRNA from 1 species